GUAUCCUUUUCAGCAUUCUAAUUCAUUAUUAUGAAUUUGCUUAGAGCAUACUUGCUUUAAUAUCAAAGUUUGGUUAUUGUGAAGAAUGCACUUGAUCCUUGAUUUGGUUAACACAGAUAUGUUGAUGAUAACAUGAGGAUAGGGAGAGAUGACAGUGGCAAUAUCUUCAUACUAGAGAGAUCCCAAGAAUCUGAAACUUAAAGAUCAAUUUGCUGCUAUGAUCUUCCUGACCGCAAUUCAUUAUUUUAGUGAUACAAUCUUCAAGAAUUAUGCUGAUUUCUUCAAUUAUUUCAGAUGAAAAUUUUGACUCAUUGCAAACUGAACACACGUAAUAUAUAGUUUACCACAUUUGCAAAAGCCAAAUUCAUCGCAGUUAAGUUUUUGAAGCAAAACAUUGUGUCUACAAAAAUCUGUCCAGCUACAUUAUACAUGCAGCAAGAAUUGCCUGUUGCUGAUAUAUGCGGUUGUUCUUAUCCCAUGCAUCAUCUUUUGAAGAAUGAAAUAGUCAGAUUGAAAGAUAAUUCAUUUUUCUGUUUAGUUUGUGUUCCAUGACUCGAUGCAUUUUACCCCAACCUUCUCUCUUAAACCUAGAAGGAUAGAUUUUUACAACCUAAAAUACUGGAAACAAGGUUUUGGAACUUGAAUUGGGGAUCUUCGCCGUGGAAAAUCCCUACAAAAAUAGAGGCAUGCCGCUAUCAGUGGAGAGAACACGGUAUUCUUUAGUAAAAGGCGAAAGAAUAGUUCGCUCUGUGCUCACCACACGGCUCCAUGGUUUCUUCCAAUUACAACAUGCUUCAAUUUAUAGAAAUGAGGGUUAGCUUUUGUAUGUCUCUUCUCUCGAUGUGGGACUGUAGCUUUAUAGUUUCUUGCCUUUGCCUUGCAAUAUUCUGCCAUCGUAAUACCAUCAUUUUUUUCCCUUAAUAAAUAUUACCUUUUAUUGUCGACUUCCAUUGACUAGGGACAGCUACCAUGUGCAAUGAAUGCCCUUGCAUGUUUAAAUAUGAGUCGUAACAAUUAUGAGAUGCCAGUCACCAUAAAUGUCUGAAGGAAUCCAAUCCAUCUCUUUAAACCCCAACACUAAACAAGUUGGACCAAAGACCAUGACGCUCCGCGGCAAGGAAAACAAUAAGGCUUGCGGGAUAAGGCUUGCGGGAUAAGGCUAUAUUUUGUAACCUUAGCCUCACGCUACGACAUUCUUUUACAGUUCUCCACUUCUCUCGCCAAAAAAAAAAACCUCUUGCAUUGGCUAAUUUAGUCAUAAAGUGUCUUUUGAACAUUAAAUUCGUGUCUAACUUCCAUUCCAAUAUUCACUACCAUAUUAAUAAAGUCACCACCUAGUAUUUUAUUGAGGGUUACUAGAAAACCCGGAUAUACUGGUCUUGUCAGAGAUUUACGGGUAAGGGAUUGAUUGUGGUUAGGAAAAGUAUUAGCACUCCUAACACAUCUUACAUGAGAUAAGCUACUUCGUGGCUUCGAUAUGUUAAAGAAGUUUUUAAAUUUUUGUUUUCAUCGGAUAUUAGAAAUACGACUUACGUGUAAGUUCAUAAUCCUUAACCGUGAACAAAUCAAAAUAUUAAAUUCUUCUUUAUUCUUUGCAAUUUUAUCAUAAAUAAAAAUAAACAUCCAUAAAAUAAAUACAAACACACACCUUUUACUAUAUUUUUUCCUUUUUCCUUUUCUUACACUACAAAUUAUACAAAUUCAAAAACAACUAAACAAAAAUUACAUUAAACACUUUAAAAAUUACAAAAAACAGACCCUAAAACUCUAGGAAUUGUAGGGAAGGCCUUCUGGAUAUGCCGGAACAGUGGCGACGUGUCUUCUCUAUGCACCACUAGCGGCGUGUGGGUUCACGUGCCGCCACAAGAAAUUCCAGGCAGCAGGGGGUGUCUGGAGCGGCUUCCUCCCCUCUUCCCUUCCUUGUCGGUGGUGAAGACCGCCGUGACCUGCAACAACAAAAACACAAGCAGUUGAUUUUAUCUUUUCCUUCUUUUAGAUCUGAUUAUCCUAUAUUUUCUUUCUGCCUUUCGGUUUGUUUUUCUCUGCUAGUUGCAAAUCUUGUUGCUGCUCUCGUCCGUGCCACUGAAGUUGCGGUAGAGAUGGGAUGGUUGUCUGGUAAAGAGGGAGGAGAAAUGGUGUCUGCGGUUGAAGGGGAGCUGCAAAAAGGAAAGGAAAUGGGUGAGCCGACUGAGAGGGAAAGUUCGUUGGCUGAGGGGAGAAGGAGAGCUGGGUCUAGGUUUGUGAGGGAGGAGCUCAACUGCUGCUGUGGUAGGCUCUGUUCGGUGGCCGAUUGCUAUGGAUGAAACUAGAGGAGAAGAAGACGCCACUCUUGGCUUGUCUGGUGAGGGGGAAGAAGAUGUGGCGGUUUUGACUUGGAGAGGGAGAUGUGAGGUCUGCCGAUGGAUAUGAGAGGAGAAGGAGGUGAUGGCUGAGAGAGAGAGGAGGGACGACUGGAUAAGGAAAAUAGGGCCGGUGUUCGAUAGUGUGAGGGAAGAGAGAUGGCCGCAGGGGGGCGACGACUCUGCUUUGGCUUUAGAGUAGAUUAGAUGGAACGGCAGCAAGAGAUGAGUGGGGUGAAAAUUUGGUUAGAGAUAAAGUCGGCGGCGGCUUCGAUGAGGGAGAAGAAAGGUUUAUGGUUUCUUUGUAAUUCCCCUCAAUUGUGCAAAAUUGCCCCCCUUUGUGUGUGUUAUAGAGACUAGUAUUUAUAGGUAAAAAUAUUGCUAGGUUUUCAAACUUGGUCCUUCAACUUCUUUCUUUUUUUCUAAAUUUGAUUUUUCUUAUUUUUUUGGAUUUUUCUUAUCAACAUCGACUCGAAUGAGAAAAAUCAGUGAUUUUAAAAAUAAUGCGUUAAAAGUCGAACACGUUUUAAAAACCUUUGAAAAUUUAAAUUCUUUUGAGACGAUGCUAAAAAUUCUAAAAAUGAUGAAAAUAUAUUAAAAAACAUAUUUUUUGGAUUUUCAAUGUUUUUCGUUAGUUUUGGAUUUUUUCUAAAAAUUUAUCAAAACAUGGGUCAAAAUUGGGUAGCUAUAGAUGCCCCCUCCUUACAAUGUUUAUGAAGCAAAACUCCUCAAUGUUUUGCAUAGUAAGCUUUGUAAAGAAAAACUUGUCUUCCUAACUUGUUGACUCCACUCAUCUAAAGACCUUAGUUUUUUCUUUUCCUUCUCUUUUCUUUCUUUCUUUCUUUCUUUCUUUCUUUCUCUCUCUCUUUGUUUUUGUUUUCUUUUGUUAACUUGAGAUCCCAUCUGGCGACCUCCUUUAACCAAAACCAAAGAAUGUGUGUAGCUCGGUCAACAUGAAAUCCCAUUUGACGAUUCCCUUUAACCAAAGCUACAUGAGAUUCCAUAUGGAGAUCUCCUUUAACUAGAACCAAAAGAAUAUGUGUAGCUCGAUCAACCUGAAAUCCCAUCUGGCGAUUCCCUUUAACCAAAGCUACCCAAGAUCCCAUUUGGCGACCUCUUUUAACCAAAGCCAAGCUAGGUCAACCUGAAAUUUCAUCUGGCGAUUCCCUUUAAUCAAAACAAAAGCAUGUGUGUAGCUUGGUCAACCUGAAAUCCCAUAUGGAGAUUCCUUUUAACCAAAGCUACCUGAGAUCCCAUCUAGCGAUAUCCUUUAACCAAAACCAAAAAAAUAUGUAAAAAGUGGUCUCAUUAUAAUAGGUGACUUACCCAGGUGAAAGAAUGUGAAAAAUGGUCUCGUUAUGAUGGGUGAUCUAUCCAAAUGGAAGAUCGAAAAAAUAUGAAGUGGUCUCAUCGUUAUGGGUGACCUACCCAAAUGAAAGAUGGGUGGUCUCAUUAUGAUGGGUGACCAACCCAAAUGGAAAAUGAGAAAAAUGUGAAGCGGUCUCAUUGUUAUGGGUGACCUACCCAAAUGAAAGAUGUGAUGUGACAAGUGUGAAAAUGAGCCUUACCUGGUGAAGUCCUGAAGGGAUGACAGGAGAAGGCCUGGAAAACUUGGUGCUUCCUGAUAAUUCUCGAUCAUAGGGUUUGAAAACUCAGUGGUUCUUGAUUGCAGGGUUAAUCUUUUCAUUUCUUUGAGAUUUUCCUAAUGGUAGGGUUCAUCUUAUUCUUUUCUCAUUCCAGGAUCAAAAUCCGUGAUUCUUUGUUAUCAUCAAUGCAAUGCUUCUUUCUUUUUCCACAAUCUUGUUGGACCUCAUUGAGGAUUUUUCCUGUAACAAUUCAAAAGCAAAUGUGCAAUAUUUUGACGUUAGAUGACAUGCAUGCAUUCUUACCUGAUUUGGAAUAUAGGUCCUCCUUUUUUGAUGUUCCAUCGUCAUUAGGUGCCUUUGUAUGCAUUCCAAAGCCUUUUUUAUCCUUUUGAUUUACUGGUUUAUCUGUGUGCUAGCCAUCCACUCAGCUAUAAGUGUCGUGUCCAAGGUUGUUAAAAUCGCGUUUUGACUCGUAAAAUCGUAUGAUUUUACAAGUCAAAACAUGCAUUACGGGUUGAAUCGCUUGAAAAAAUAAAAAAUGGAUAAAAUCGGGUUGAAAUCGGGUGAAAUCGCAAAAAUCGAAUGAAAUCGCGCAAAAUCACAAUUUCAGGACCGAUUUUGCAAUUUCAACAAAAUGAGGCGUUGAAACAAAAUUCCCCCCCUCAUGUCCAGCUGUCAGACGCCUAUUGGAUUUUUCUUCAGUCUUCAGGCGAGAAUCAAGUGCGGAAGUCAUGCCAAUUUCCCUCCACUCCUUAUUCUAUCAAAAGCUGUUACAUCAAUCAAUCAUAUGUUUCUAUUGCACUUGUCACUGCAGCCAUUGAUUUUCACUCCUCCUGUCCUGCCCUCUUCUCUGUCUCUACCCAAGAUUCAAUGCUUCUAGCCGGAGAGAGAGAGAGAGAGCUCCGUUGCAUCUUUUUAUUAUUUUAGUACUUGUAUGGAGAACGGAGAUAGUGGCCUAGCCCAGUCAGACAUAUAGGUUCAUCAACCACUACUUUCAGAGGCUAAUUGCAAAAUAAACUCCCGCUUUUGCUCCCAUGCAACAAUCAACUAGUCCCCAGUCCCCUCUUUCCACCUGCGCCAUGCUGCGGGUACUAUUUUAAAUAGAUUUUUUAUAUAUUAUAUUUUUUUAUUAAAAAAUAAAAAGAUGAUAUUUAUAUUUUAUAAAAUAAAUUAAAAAUAUAUGAAAUUAUAUAUAUAUAUAUAUAAGAGCAUGAAUUUUUAUUUGAAGUAUAAAUUUUUUUUAAUGUAUUUUAAAAUUCCUUACAAUUUUACGAUUUUACGAUCCGUUUUUACGAUCCGAGUUUGUAAACGGCUUUCCGUGUCGUGUUAAAAUCGCGAUUUUAACAACCUUGGUCGUGCCUAUCCUGGGCUGUCCAUAAUGAUUACUCCUCUUGUUGUUUAUCAAGCAUGAUUGUGCCCUCCAAGUGUGGUGUUGCUUGAUUCAUCAUGAAUGAGCUUAACCGAUUAUUCAUCUUCUGGAUUGUCUUGAGAGUUGUUCUCUCAUUGAUUGUGCGCAUCAUGCCAAUAUCCAUCAAGAUUGUCAAUCAGUCCUGAAGUUGCCUCAAGUUGAAACAAUACUCUUCAAGUAUAUGUUAUCACUAGUCUUUUUGGAAACUAUCUAGUCGUCAAGACAUGUAUCUCAUAACUUGCAGUACAAGGUUCAUCGUUGUAAGCACAUUGUUUUUCUUAAUGGAUUCCUCUUAUCUUGUCAAAUUAGAUUGCGAACAGAAAUGUAUUGGCAUCAUCAAUGAUGUUCAAUUUAUCACUCAUAUUGAUGCAGUGAAGUACACCUUUGAUCUUCAAAAUAAAUGGUCUCACAGUCAGUCUUCAUGGUAUGCAUCCUUUCAAUGUUCAUUCAAAUACACUCACACGAUAACAUCUAUCAGGAGUCAUAGCCAUGUUUUAAAGGGUAACCCAAGAUGAAGAUAUGAAGAUGUCCUUCAAGUGCAGCACCACUCUUACUUGCUGCUAGAGUUCACUUGAUCUUGACUAUCUUUGAACAAUAUUGCCCCAGUGUGAUCUGAAUGUGCUCGUUCAUUGAUUAUCUUUCUUUAAACCACAUUGUCCUCCGCUCACCGAUUCUUUAUUUAAUCAUCUUUCUUUGCCCCCUCAACUGAUAUGAAUAUUGUUUCUUUUCCUUCUCGGGGUCCACUAUAUUGCCCCAAGGUGUCUUGACUUUUCAAGGAGUGUUGAGAAGAGUUGAUGUCAUUUCGGUCAAGGAUUUUGCAAACUCAAUCAAUGUUCUUCUUUGUUCGACAAUCUUUCUUGUUCUGGAAUCAAAUCUCAUACUUCAAAUGUCAUGUCUAUUGAAGUCUAAUUGUUGAAAUGAAAUCAGAGAGAUAUUAGUUUUGGAAAAGAUCUUUUGAAAAUCAAGCUUUCUGGUCAAAGACCCAAUACAUGUCAUUCAAAAUAUGUAAUCCUUUUAUUGUCUUGUAUUUUGAAAACAGAAAUUGACCCGUUGCGAGAUUAAAAUGGCUUUUCCUAUGGUUCUUUGUGUCCACUUUAAACUCUGGUUUUGGUAUAUCUUUUUGAUGGUAUGUGAUGAGGUGAUAUUUUUGUGAAUUUUAAAAACAAGAUGCUCAGGCUUUAUCAAGAAAUGUUGUUUCUUUUCUUAGCAUUUAUUGUAUCAACAUGCAUAAUAACCAAUAGCUUAAUUCAUGAAGUCACGACCCUUAUAGAAAAGCUCUUCCAGUUUUGAGAGCGUUGUCGCACCCGACAUCGCGGCGGCCUUAAAAAUUUCUUUAAAUCUUUGGAAAGAACAGAUUUCUGGCAUCAUGUUCUUUAAUGUGGAUAAGGAGUCGCCACCUAGUAUUAUGGUCACUAGGAACCCUAAUUGGUCAACAGAGAUUCUAUGGUUCGGGACUGGUUACGUAAAAGGGAAGAUAUUAUCACCCCUUAAACGUCCUGCCUGAGGCAGGCUGCAUUGCUAGUUUCGUCUUAAAUUACGAAAUGUUUAUUUUUUUAUGUUAUGAAAAUUUUCUUACAAUAUUCCUGACUCUGGCGCCAGUGAAUAUUAACUACGAAUAUUUCCAACUCUAGCGUUGAUAAAUAUGACGUAGCUAAAAAAAAUAAAUUUAAAUAAAAUGUUUUUUUAUUAUAUUCCUGACUCUGACGUCAGUGAAUAAACAAGUAGAAAUCAAUUUAAAAAAAAUAAAAUAAAUUUACAUUAGUAUUUUUAUUAUUCCCGACUCUAGCGUCGGUGAAUAUACUAAAUAAAUUUAUCAUAUUUUAUCUUAUGUGAAUAUACAAAAUAAAAUCAAUUCAUUGCUUUAUCAAAUUAUUUUUACGCAUGUGAAACAAAAAUAAAAUAAAAUAAAUUUACCUUAGUAUUUUUUAUUCCCGACUCUGGCGUCGGUGAAUAUACUUAAAUAAAUUUAUCCUAUUUUAUCUUAUGUGAAUAAACAAAAUAAAAUCGAUUCAUUGCUUUAUCAAAUUAUUUUUACGCAUGUGAAACAAAAAUAAAAUAAAAUAAAUUUACCUUAGUAUUUUUUAUUCCCGACUCUAGCGUCGGUGAAUAUACUUAAAUAAAUUUAUUCUAUUUACUUUAUGUGUUUUUUUCUGUCAAUGAAUAAAUAAAUAAAAAAAGAAUAAAUUCAUUUAUGUAUAUAUUUUUUACCUACACAAUUUUUAUAUAUAUAUAUAUAUAUAUUUUUUUAUUUUUUAGUUUUGGGCUGGGCCGGGCUAAACCCAGCCCAGCAAGUGGCUGGGCUUAGCUCAGCCCCACAGGGGCUGGGCUGAACCCAGCCAGCCUGGCCCGGGUCACUGGCCCAAGCCAGUGACCCGGCUAAAAACAGGAUGCACGCGUGAAACAAAUCACGCGUGCAUUCAACAGUGCGAAGGUAAUUAAAUUACCUUCGCACUGUUCAAACUUCAAACAAUUAAUUAGACACCGAAGAACAGAGAAAAAAUGGAAAAGGCGCACCUGUUUCUGGCGAUUGAAGAAGGCUGCAGCGCUGGUGGAGUUCGACUGCUUGCUGUUUCAAACGAUGCUGAGGAGGGUUGCAACGCUGGUGUGGGUUCUACUGCUUUCUGUCAAAUGCCAAUGGUUCGGUGAUCGAUUGGGAUCCUGUUUCAGAAGGCGGUGAAGAAGGCUGCAGCGCUGGUGGAGUUCGACUGAGUUCUGUUGAUAAUCGAUGGUUAGGGGAUUAAUUGCUUUCUUGUAGGAACGAAAACAAGAUUGAUCCGUGACUCCCCUCCUCCUUUCUCUCUUUUUCUGCGUUGGUAUUUUUUGUUUGGUUUAUGCCCUUUUUUGUUACUCUGUUUUGGGUUGAUGUUUCUGUUCUUCUCUGUGUAUUUUUGGUUCUGUUUUUGGUUGCUCUGUUUUUCUGGGAUUGCCUUGCUUUCUCCCCCCUCGACUAGGUUUUCUGCUUCCUUUUAUAGACUCCCCAGCCCCUCUCUUUUAACUAGUCCUGUCUUUGCAGGACUCUUCUCUUCCCCGACGAGAUCGUGGGCGAUAGACAUGGUCCACGAUUGGAUCAACUUCGUUGCAGAUCUUCAGCCUGUUGAAUCGGGAUGCAGAAGACGAACACGGCUGUUUCACCAGCAACGGCGACGUUUCGGCAGCAAUGGAUUCCACCAGUAACGGCGACGUUUCAAGCAGCCAUGAACAUUUUCAAUUUGACCCCUGGACUUUGGAAAUUCGGCAAUUAGACCCCUAAACAAUUAAAAGUUUCUUUUAAUCUUGCCCUUUUGGAUUAAUUUCAAUUAAGUCUCUAAAUUAUAACACUAUUUACAAAACAGUCCUUAAUUUGUGGAUUGUCCAAUUUGACCCUUAAUUAAAUUUUACUUUUAAUGUUUUUUAAAAUUGAUCAAUUAACUCUCAAAUUACAUCUCCAAACUUCAAAAUUUAUUGUCUUAACUUCAUUGUCAAUUAUAUUUAAUUUUUAUUAUUUGUUCAAAAAUUUGAUUAUGACAAACGUCAUUUAUUGGUUCAGAUUGCUUACUUGAUCAAAAAGGGUUCAGAUUGCUUAUUUGAUCAAAAAGGGUUUUUAAAAGCAUGUAAUGCAGGCUAUGGUUCAUGGCUAUGAAAGAAAAGGAAAUUUACAAGCUCAAAAAAAUGUUUAAGGAUUUCAAAGACUUAGGAUCAACAUCAACUAUUCAUCAAUUCUCUUUCGCUUGUUGUGGCAAUAUCUUCAUACUAAGAGAUCCCAAGAAUCUGAAACUUAAAGAUCAAUUUGCUGCUAUGAUCUUCCUGACCGCAAAUUCAUUAUUUUAGUGAUACAAUCUUCAAGAAUUUUGCUGAUUUCUUCAAUUAUUUCAGAUGAAAAUGUUGACUCAUUGCAAACUGAACACACG
rnacentral:lncRNA from 1 species